ACAGAAUAUGGAGAAUAUCAUGAAAGAAUUCUCGGUUGAGUGAUAUAGCAUGCCAAAUGUUCUGAAAAGUAAAACAGAGGAUGUUUCAUUUCUGCACAUCACUUUUUAACUUGAGUGCCCUUACCAGAUGCCAGCACCUUGAUUUUGAACUUCCCAGCCUGCAGAACUAUGAGAAAUAAAUAUCUUUUCUUUGUAAA